rnacentral:rRNA from 1 species
UACGUAGGGUGCAAGCGUUAAUCGGAAUUACUGGGCGUAAAGCGUGCGCAGGCGGUUGUGCAAGACCGAUGUGAAAUCCCCGGGCUUAACCGGGGAAUGGCAUUGGUGACUGCACGGCUAGAGUGUGUCAGAGGGGGGUAGAAUUCCACGUGUAGCAGUGAAAUGCGUAGAGAUGUGGAGGAAUACCGAUGGCGAAGGCAGCCCCCUGGGAUAACACUGACGCUCAUGCACGAAAGCGUGGGGAGCAAACAGG